rnacentral:lncRNA from 1 species
GUCAUAGAAAACAAAAGUUAAAUUAUGGAAAUUCACAGCUCAUUUUUCCAUUUUGCAGAUGAGACUCAGGAUUUGGAAAGCAAAACAAACAACCGAACAAACAAAUGAAAAGAGUAGAUUUUGGACCUCCACGAAUGAUUUCAAAGUGAACAAUAAGAAGAUCUCUGCCUGCAUAAGACUCAUUUUGAAAGUGACACUAAAGAGCCCAUCCAAGAAGAUAAUAACGGUAAGUAAGCCCUGUCUGGGUAUGAGUUCCAGCUCCCUGGGCCGGUCACAGUGGAAUACUGAGUCUUGACUUCCGCAAAGUGUCUCACAGACAGUAUCUGUCUCUCCCUGUCAAAGUCAGUGACAACUGACUGCAAGAGGAAGAUCCAAAUGCAUCUUAAGAAUGGAGAUCAAUGCAAUCACUGCAAGUAAACCGUGUUCGACCUUACUCUUUGUAAGAAGGAAAAGAAUCAACAGGGC